rnacentral:miRNA from 1 species
AGGUGGUCACUUGAGUUGCAGU